GUGAAUCAUCGAAUUUUUGAACGCAAAUUGCACUCCCCUCGGAGAGUAUGCGUGUUUGAGUUUCAGCCUAUACAAAAUCGGCAUCGUUGCCGUUUCGCGGUGGCGUUCGUCGGACAUUGGGCCAUCUUAAAUCCUUUUGGUUUUUAAGCGACUUAAAAUUUUCCUUUUGGUUCCAUGAACGUUUCUAAGAUUUAUGUCUUGACACGUUUAAGGUAUCGAUCUUUAUUAGACGUGACCAUCAU
rnacentral:misc_RNA from 1 species